GACGAACGCUGGCGGCGUGCUUAACACAUGCAAGUCGAACGGAAAGGCCCUUCGGGGUACUCGAGUGGCGGACGGGUGAGUAACACGUGGGUGAUCUGCCCUGCACUUUGGGAUAAGCCUGGGAAACUGGGUCUAAUACCGUAUAGGACCACGCGCUUCAUGGUGUGUGGUGGAAAGCUUUUGCGGUGUGGGAUGGGCCCGCGGCCUAUCAGCUUGUUGGUGGGGUAAUGGCCUACCAAGGCGACGACGGGUAGCCGGCCUGAGAGGGUGACCGGCCACACUGGGACUGAGAUACGGCCCAGACUCCUACGGGAGGCAGCAGUGGGGAAUAUUGCACAAUGGGCGCAAGCCUGAUGCAGCGACGCCGCGUGAGGGAUGACGGCCUUCGGGUUGUAAACCUCUUUCAAUAGGGACGAAGCGCAAGUGACGGUACCUAUAGAAGAAGCACCGGCUAACUACGUG
rnacentral:rRNA from 1 species